CCUACGGGUGGCAGCAGUAGGGACUUUUCGUCAAUGGGCGCAAGCCUGAACGAGCGAUGCCGCGUGAGUGAGGAAGGCCUGCGGGUCGUAAAGCUCUGUUGCGGGGGAAAAAAGGCAGCAUCAGGAAAUGGGUGCUGACUGAUGGUGCACCGCCAGAAAGUCACGGCUAACUACGUGCCAGCAGCCGCGGUAAUACGUAGGUGGCGAGCGUUAUACGGAAUGAUUGGGCGGAACGGGUGCGCGGGCGGUCCUGCAAGUCUGGAGUGAAACGCAUGGGCUCAACUCAUGCAUGGCUUUUGAAACUGGAGGACUGGAGAGCAGGAGAGGGCGGUGGAACUGCAUGUGUAGCGGUAAAAUGCGUAGAUAUAUGGAAGAACACCAGUGGCGAAGGCGGCCGCCUGGCCUGUUGCUGACGCUGAGGCACGAAAGCGUGGGGAGCAAAUAGGAUUAGAUACCCUUGUAGUC
rnacentral:rRNA from 1 species